AGUGGACGCUGGCGGUAGGCCUAACACAUGCAAGUCGAACGGCAGCACAGUAAGAGCUUGCUCUUACGGGUGGCGAGUGGCGGACGGGUGAGGAAUACAUCGGAAUCUACUUUUUCUUUGGGGAUAACUUAGGGAAACUUACGCUAAUACCGCAUUCGACCUACGGGUGAAAGCAGUGGAUCUUCUGACCUUGCGCGAUUGAAUGAUCCGAUGUCGGAUUAGCUAGUUGGCGGGGUAAAGGCCCACCAAGGGGACGAUCCGUAGCUGGUCUGAGUGGAUGAUCAGCGACACUGGAACUGAGACACGGUCCAGACACCUACGGGAGGCAGCAGUGGGGAAUAUUGGACAAUGGGCGAAAGCCUGAUCCAGCAAUACCGCGUGGGUGAAGAAGGACUUCGGGUUGGAAAGCCCUUUUGUUGGGAAAGAAAAGCAGCAGGUUAAUACCCCGCUGUUCUGACGGUACCAAAAGAAUAAGCACCGGCUAACUUCGUG
rnacentral:rRNA from 1 species